rnacentral:lncRNA from 1 species
AUGUAUAUUUCAAACAAACACAAAAAUAGAGAAACUAGUAGGUUCCCCUGUGUCCGUAUGUCAGCUUCAGCAAUGGGUAACCCUGGCCAAUGUAUUUACUCCCCACAUCCUUUGCUUCCGGCGAACUCCAGGCAUCACACGUUCUCAUCUGCAAAUAAGUGCUUCUGUGCAAAAGUUAGAUUUCAAAUAUAUCUGUUAGGAAGCAGCCUCGGGGGAGCUGGUGCCCGUCUCGCUGGUGCCGUGGCUCCGGGGCCUAGCACGGUGCUUGGCUCACACGGCCAGCAGGGGCGUGGCGGGGCUGUGGCUCAGAUCUCUGGGGACGGUGGCGUGUGGGCUGUGGUUUGCACAGGCUGGCCGCCGUCAGGGCAUCCGUACACGCCGAGUGCGCUGCCGCGGUCCUGCGAAUACGCGGCGCGUGUGCUUGUGUGUGCGUGUGCACGUUGCUGCAGCAGCUGGUGGCAGAAAGCGCACUUCCUCCCUGACACUAUCUCCCACACCCCCAGAAUCCGGGGACUGGCUCUUGCGGGGCGUGUGAGAGAGGGUGGGAAAGAUGCAAGCUCCAGCCCCCGCUCACUCCUCCAGGGGGCCGGUCUGAGGCCAGGGUGGCCUUCCCGGCUUGGCUCGAGGCUGUGCCAGCCCAGGCGCCAGCAGGCCGCCUCCUCCCGCCCUGGCCCCAAAGCCCCGCCCAGCUGGGUGGCACUAGCCGGGGAAGGGCGGUGGUAUUCCCACCAGGCUGACUCCCGAUGCUGCUGCCCGGGUGAUCCCCGUCUUGAAGCCGCUCAAACUGGGCGGGGGGCACCUGGGCGCGGAGUCCUGGCCAGUGCGGAAGAACUUGCUCCUAGCCCCGCAGGAGCUGGACUCCAGGGGGCUACUCCCGGUCAGACCCGGAGUUCCCCAGGAGCUUCUCGGCCUGCUCCCCUGAGCCCCGGUCCGCUUCAGGGCUGGUCUCCUCGUCCCGUCCCUCUGGCCCCACGUCUCCUUGGCCCUGCCCUCGUGUCCGCUUUAAGCUUGGCACUCCCUGUCCUUCCCUCCCUGGGAAGCCCCUGUGUCCUGGGCACCCCUAGGCCCACCCUGCCUCCCACCCUGCCCUCCUCCACCCGCCCAGCAGGUUCCCUGCGGUCAAGGCUCCACCGUGCGGAGGAGGUCCGGAUCAGUGGGGGUGGGUGGAGGAAGGGAGGUGCCAGCUUCUAG